rnacentral:rRNA from 1 species
GACAGAGGGUGCAAACGUUGUUCGGAUUUACUGGGCGUAAAGCGCGUGUAGGCGGCUUUGCAAGUCGGAUGUGAAAUCCCACGGCUCAACCGUGGAAGUGCAUCCGAAACUGCAUCGCUCGAGUCUCGGAGAGGAAGGUGGAAUGCUUGGUGUAGAGGUGAAAUUCGUAGAUAUCUGGAGGAACACCGAUGGCGAAGGCAGCCCCCUGGGCUAACACUGACGCUGAUGCACGAAAGCGUGGGGAGCAAACAGG